rnacentral:sRNA from 1 species
UUGAAGAGGAUUUGGG